GCACCUGAUGUUGAUGAGCAGAAAGUUAGGGUGAAGAUUUCAGAUGCGUGGACCCCCGUGGGAUUUUCUGGUUUCUAAGUUGUCUCUUGACAUUGGAAAUCUGAACUGAAUAUUUGCUUUAUCGCCUUUAGGACAACAGAGAACUGUAGCACUUUGUAAAACUCUAAACUGUUUCUGUCUCCUCUGUGGUGUCACCUUCACUGAAGCAAAUCAGCCUUCGCUCUGUCUGACCCCGCACAUGACACAUGGACGGAGACUCAGCCUUUGACAGAUGGUUCACAAGGAGAUUUAACAGCUGAUAGUUUAAUUGUGGAGUGUUUGCUGUGGGUGCGAGGAGGUUAAACAGCUGAUUAAUGCGAGGCUAACAGCGAGCGGCUCCUGCGGUGGCUCCUCCGUCUCUCGCCGCUGUGAUAAUGAGCUCAUUCGAUAUGCAGAUUUGAUCCCUGGAGGCCUCGCACAAUUAAUUGUUCUUGUUGACUCGAGUAAUUGUUUGUUUGCAGGUUUAAUUUGGAGAUUUAGAAAGUGUCACGUGACGAGCGCCAGCUGAACGUGAUGUAAUGAGCGGCAGCUGAUCUGUGACAUCAUGUUAAGCCUCAAAUAACGGUCACCCCGAUUAUCCACCUGUUCCUGCUUUAAAGUGCGCAGUGCUUUUUGUUCCACAGUUAUAGCCUCACCUGAACUUUGGAUAACAUGUCACAAAGCAGGGGCGUGUCUACAAGGGGGGCAGGGGGUGGCACCAGCCAAGCCAUCAGACUCGGGUAAUGAGGGAGAGGAAACAGGUGGGGGCGCAGCUGGAACUAAUGACAGAAGAGGGAGGAACAACUCGAACGAAGGAAACACUUAAUUUGCUUUUGUUUGUUUUUACCUCUGAUGGAUGAUGGCGAGUGGCUGUUUAUGAAUAUAUCAAAAAAAGUUGUUUUAUAUACCGCUUUUUUUACUU